CCUACGGGUGGCAGCAGUGGGGAAUAUUGGACAAUGGGCGAAAGCCUGAUCCAGCCAUGCCGCGUGUGUGAAGAAGGCCUUCGGGUUGUAAAGCACUUUCAGUGGGGAAGAAAGCCUUGGGGCUAAUACCCUCGAGGAAGGACAUCACCCACAGAAGAAGCACCGGCUAACUCCGUGCCAGCAGCCGCGGUAAUACGGAGGGUGCGAGCGUUAAUCGGAAUUACUGGGCGUAAAGCGCGCGUAGGCGGUCUGAUAAGCCGGUUGUGAAAGCCCCGGGCUCAACCUGGGAACGGCAUCCGGAACUGUCAGGCUAGAGUGCAGGAGAGGAAGGUAGAAUUCCCGGUGUAGCGGUGAAAUGCGUAGAGAUCGAGAGGAAUACCAGUGGCGAAGGCGGCCUUCUGGACUGACACUGACGCUGAGGUGCGAAAGCGUGGGUAGCAAACAGGAUUAGAUACCCCUGUAGUC
rnacentral:rRNA from 1 species